UGGGUAACCCACCCCGAUGACCGGGGCAACCCGAGGAAACUCGGGCUAAUACCGGAUGUGGUCCCCCAUCAUCAGAUGGGUGACUAAAGAUAGCUUCGGCCUUCGCAUCGGGACGGGCCCGCGGCCCAUUAGCUUGUUGGUGGGGUAACGGCCUACCAAGGCAACGAUGGGUAGCUGGUCUGAGAGGACGAUCAGCCACACUGGGACUGAGACACGGCCCAGACUCCGUACGGGAGGCGG
rnacentral:rRNA from 1 species